rnacentral:rRNA from 1 species
UACGUAGGCGGAAAAUUAAGUCGGUAGUGAAAUCCUGCAGCUUAACUGUAGAACUGUUAUUGAUACUGGUUUCCUUGAAUAUAGUUGAGGUAGGCGGAAUGUGUAAUGUAGCGGUGAAAUGCUUAGAUAUUACACAGAACACCGAUUGCGAAGGCAGCUUACUAAGCUAUGAUUGACGCUGAGGUACGAAAGCGUGGGGAGCGAACAGGAUUAGAUACCCUGGUAGUCC